rnacentral:lncRNA from 1 species
CUUCAUACUGUCACUUGUAUAUGAAUGCUGCUCAUAUUUAGUCAUUUGGAAUCUUGAGAGUUCAAGUACUGGACGGUGGUCCCUAAAUAAUGAAUCAAGUCUUCUCAUCUCAUAAAUUGCUUAAGGUAUAAACCAAUCAUUCAUGAUCUAAUGAUAGCUCUUCACAACAGGGAACUCCGGCGACCUUCUCUGGGAGUUUAUGCUACAAACUUUUACACAGCUGAAAUAUAUUUCAUAGAAAAGGUUAUUCAAAAGAAUCCGAGUAUUUGCAAUGGAGUUUUUGUUGAGAAGGUA